rnacentral:rRNA from 1 species
UACGUAGGGGGCAAGCGUUGUCCGGAAUUAUUGGGCGUAAAGAGCGCGUAGGCGGUCCGAUAAGUCGGCUGUGAAAGUCAGGGGCUCAACCCUUGGAAGCCGGCCGAUACUGUCGGACUAGAGUCCGGAAGAGGCGAGUGGAAUUCCUGGUGGAGCGGUGAAAUGCGCAGAUAUCAGGAGGAACACCGAUGGCGAAGGCAGCUCGCUGGGACGGUACUGACGCUGAGGCGCGAAAGCGUGGGGAGCAAACAGG